AGAGAGGCGGUGAUGUUGAGAACUACCUAUUUUAUGAAGGGUUUUGGCCUUUUUGUGAUUAGAAAGUCACCAAUGGAUCCUUCUGAGCCUUCUC
rfam:Theobroma cacao cultivar Matina 1-6 chromosome 6, whole genome shotgun sequence.